rnacentral:rRNA from 1 species
CCUACGGGUGGCUGCAGUGGGGAAUAUUGCACAAUGGGCGCAAGCCUGAUGCAGCCAUGCCGCGUGUGUGAAGAAGGCCUUCGGGUUGUAAAGCACUUUCAGCGGGGAGGAAGGCGGUGAGGUUAAUAACCUCAUCGAUUGACGUUACCCGCAGAAGAAGCACCGGCUAACUCCGUGCCAGCAGCCGCGGUAAUACGGAGGGUGCGAGCGUUAAUCGGAAUUACUGGGCGUAAAGCGCACGCAGGCGGUCUGUCAAGUCGGAUGUGAAAUCCCCGGGCUCAACCUGGGAACUGCAUUCGAAACUGGCAGGCUAGAGUCUUGUAGAGGGGGGUAGAAUUCCAGGUGUAGCGGUGAAAUGCGUAGAGAUCUGGAGGAAUACCGAUGGCGAAGGCGGCCCCCUGGACAAAGACUGACGCUCAGGUGCGAAAGCGUGGGGAGCAAACAGGAUUAGAUACCCGUGUAGUC